rnacentral:rRNA from 1 species
CAUAGGGUUCGCUGGCGGCGUGCCUAACACAUGCAAGUCGGACGAGAAAGGCCGGGGAAACUUGGCCGAGUAAAGUGGCGCACGGGUGAGUAACGCGUGAGUGACCUAUCCUGGAGACGGGGAUAACCUUGCGAAAGCGGGGCUAAUACCCGAUAAUACUCAAGCUGAGGUAAUCGGCUUGGGGAAAGCUGGCUUUUAAAUAAGCUAGUGCUCUAGGGUGGGCUCGCGUCCUAUCAGCUAGUUGGUAGGGUAAAGGCCUACCAAGGCUAAGACGGGUAGCUGGUCUGAGAGGAUGGCCAGCCACACUGGAACUGAGACACGGUCCAGACUCCUACGGGAGGCAGCAGUGAGGGAUAUUGCGCAAUGGCCGAAAGGCUGACGCAGCGACGCCGCGUGGGUGAGGAAGGCCUUCGGGUCGUAAA